UAAUGACGGUACCCGCAGAAGAAGCCCCGGCUAACUUCGUGCCAGCAGCCGCGGUAAUACGAAGGGGGCUAGCGUUGCUCGGAAUCACUGGGCGUAAAGCGCACGUAGGCGGCUUCUUAAGUCAGGGGUGAAAUCCUGGAGCUCAACUCCAGAACUGCCUUUGAUACUGGGGAGCUCGAGUCCGGGAGAGGUGAGUGGAACUGCGAGUGUAGAGGUGAAAUUCGUAGAUAUUCGCAAGAACACCAGUGGCGAAGGCGGCUCACUGGCCCGGUACUGACGCUGAGGUGCGAAAGCGUGGGGGGCAAACAGGAUUAGAUACCCUGGUAGUCCACGCCGUAAACGAUGGAUGCUAGCCGUUGUCGGGUUUACCCGUCAGUGGCGCAGCUAACGCAUUAAGCAUCCCGCCUGGGGAGUACGGUCGCAAGAUUAAAACUCAAAGGAAUAGACGGGGGCCCGCACAAGCGGUGGAGCAUGUGGUUCAAUUCGAAGCAACGCGCAGAACCUUACCAGCCCUAGACCGCUCGGUCGCGAGUACCAGAGAUGGAACUCUUCAGUUCGGCUGGACCGAGUUCAGGUGCUGCAUGGCUGUCGUCAGCUCGUGUCGUGAGAUGUUGGGUUAAGUCCCGCAACGAGCGCAACCCUCGCCCUUAGUUGCCAUCAUUCAGUUGGGCACUCUAAGGGGACUGCCGGUGAUAAGCCGCGAGGAAGGUGGGGAUGACGUCAAGUCCUCAUGGCCCUUACGGGCUGGGCUACACACGUGCUACAAUGGCGGUGACAAUGGGACGCGAUGGGGCAACCCUGAGCAAAUCUCAAAAAGCCGUCUCAGUUCGGAUUGUGCUCUACAACUCGAGCACAUGAAGUUGGAAUCGCUAGUAAUCGCAGAUCAGCACGCUGCGGUGAAUACGUUCCCGGGCCUUGUACACACCGCCCGUCACACCAUGGGAGUUGGCUUUACCUGAAGACGGUGCGCCAACCGUAAGGGGGCAGCCGGCCACGGUAGGGUCAGCGACUGGGGUGAAGUCGUAACAAGGUAGCCGUA
rnacentral:rRNA from 1 species